rnacentral:lncRNA from 1 species
ACCUGCCAGAGCUCCAGGAGCGUUUGGAAAAUGCUCCAGGAAGAGGUGGGAUUGUUGAGGUGUCUGUGCAGGGCCAGGAGCUGGGCUGGAUGAUCCUUGUGCUCCCUUCCCACUCAGGAUAUUCCACGAACAAACAAACCCCUUCCCCUCUCUUCUCCAAAGCACUUCGGGUGAAUCACGAUUUCUGGAGGGUUAAGGUUUAGCUAAGGGUUAGAAGCAAUUUAUAAUGACCAAGAUGUAAGUCAGAUAAGCAAAUUGUAGGUUAAUGAUUAUGAGAUGCUCAAGCCAGAGCUAAUUGUUCUGUUGUUGAUAGAAGGAAGUGCAGUGAGUGGUUCUGGGAACAGACUGAACCCAGGGAGAGCAAGGGCAGCACCUGGGCUCUGCCCCAACCCAUCCCUGAGCAGGGCCUGGAUCCUGCCAGAGCUCACACUCACCUGAGGAAAACAUUCCUGACUUCCCUGGAUCCUGCCAGAGCUCACACUCACCUGAGGAAAACAUUCCUGACUCCCCUGGAUCCUGCCAGAGCUCACACUCACCUGAGGAAGACUUUCCUGGCUCCAUCCCUUGAGGCCACUGACCCAAGUCCAGCCCAGCCACCCAAACCAAGAGAAGAACUGAGCAGGCCCAGAUCCCAGCAAACUCCUGGCAGCGCUCCCAGCUCAGCUCAGCACACGGAUCCAGCCCCAGAGCUCGGGAAUCACUCACUUUUCCAGGCUGGAAGCAAAGCACGUGGUGAAGAACGUGCAAAUCUUCUGCAGGCCCCCAAGCAAUGAACCUGGAGCAGUGAACCUGAAGUCCUGCAAAGGCUGCAAGAAAAGCUGGAAUUUGCUGCUGCCUCAGCUGAAAGCUCGGAUUGCGGCACCUCCCGGGAGAGGGGUUGGAUGAGAGACCUUUAGGGAAGAGAAGGAAAGACUGGACCUCCCAACCAAGAGUUCAGAGGAGGUGGAAUGUGUUUGUCAGUGCUGGGGAGUGUUAUAGAUAUAUUUUAUAUUGUUGGCUUUUUGCAAAUAUUAAAAUGAAUGUUAUGUGUAUAAGAAUGAGAAAUUUUGUUGUAUUAAUAUAGUUUUCUUUAUUUCUGUUAUUGAUGAAAUUUAGAAAUAGUACUAUAAUACAUAUAUGUUAGGCUAUGGCAUAGCAUUAAAAUAAAAACUGCUUUUGUUUGUAUAACCCA